rnacentral:tRNA from 1 species
UCCAGGGUAGCCUAGUGACCAUGGCAUCUGCCCGGUAAGUGGAACAUUGUGGGUUCGAUUCCCAUCCCUGGAC